GCCCGAAUAUAUAAUACCAUAUAUUAUAAGCUUGAAUCCAUUAAACUUUAAUCCGUGAGCCAGCCGAUCACUCUAAGAUUUCUAUAGCUCCAAGUCCCAACAUUGGAACCUCUGCGGGCUACAGUCGUGUCCUCUCCACUGCAGGCUCCCAUGCCCCAUGUCUGAUAAGAUCCACUUUCUGAUGUCCUACAGGAUUACCUCUGGGCCAACCGUAAAGCCGAGUGC
rnacentral:lncRNA from 1 species